rnacentral:rRNA from 1 species
UGGGGAAUUUUGGACAAUGGGCGCAAGCCCUGAUCCAGCCAUGCCGCGUGUCUGAAGAAGGCCUUCGGGUUGUAAAGGACUUUUGUCAGGGAAGAAAAGGCUGUUGCUAAUACCGACAGCUGAUGACGGUACCUGAAGAAUAAGCACCGGCUAACUACGUGCCAGCAGCCGCGGUAAUACGUAGGGUGCGAGCGUUAAUCGGAAUUACUGGGCGUAAAGCGAGCGCAGACGGUUACUUAAGCAGGAUGUGAAAUCCCCGGGCUCAACCUGGGAACUGCGUUCUGAACUGGGUGACUAGAGUGUGUCAGAGGGAGGUAGAAUUCCACGUGUAGCAGUGAAAUGCGUAGAGAUGUGGAGGAAUACCGAUGGCGAAGGCAGCCUCCUGGGAUAACACUGACGUUCAUGCUCGAAAGCGUGGGUAGCAAACAGGAUUAGAUACCCUGGUAGUCCACGCCCUAAACGAUGUCAAUUAGCUGUUGGGCAACUUGAUUGCUUAGUAGCGUAGCUAACGCGUGAAAUUGACCGCCUGGGGAGUACGGUCGCAAGAUUA